UAAUAAGUGUUUUAUGGCACUUUUUAAAUCCAUGUCCACCUUGUGUGCAAUGUCAGUCGAUCUUCUUCAUGGAGAUCGACCAAACAUCAACCUUUAUUUUUUAACUCUUUGUCUGAAAAAUAUUAUGAAUAAACAAUUCAAAAUA
rnacentral:misc_RNA from 1 species